UCCAUGGUGGCAACGGCAUUGGUAAGAUCUCACCUUGCUUUUUUACUUGGAUUUAUAGCCUGGGUUUGUUGGUGAAGUAAUGAUCGAAGGAGAUAUUAAAUUGUUGUCUGUGAUAGCAAAUGGCUUGCCUACAACAGAGGACUUUAAGCAUGUCACUGAUUUGGAAAUAUUGAAGGUUCCACCUGCCCCCAUGGAUAAAUUCCUUUAUCUUUUUAUUGGGUUAAUCUCUACAGCAAAUAAUUUUAAACGUAGAAUGGUGGUUCGUAUAACUGGGGUAUCAUGCGUGGGUAGUGACCACCUUAUUGAAGAUCCUUCUUCCUGUUUUGAUUGCAUUUUCGUUCACUAUGUAUCUUUUUAUUCUAGAAUUACAGCUCCUCACUUCGUGGUCAAUACUUAUGUGCCUCUUUUGCUGCCUUUGAUAAAAGCAUAAAAAUAAGGUGGUGAACGAGGAGCUCUCGAAUGAAGCACAAACAUAUGGAGACAUCGAGUUGCGUCUGUUUGUUGAUUAUUAUAACAAGUGGUACAUAAAUUCAUAUGUAUCUUUUUAUGGCACAGGGAAACUCUUUGCGUGACGGAAACUAAAAAAACUAAUGAUGGAAACUUACUACCACUGGCGUUUUGGAUGGCCAUGUGUACUAUUAUCAUUUAUCAUGUUGCAGAUGCUUAGCAAAUGCCUUCGUAGCUAUCUGUUCUUAAUCGUCUGAUUUCUUGCUCCUUUCACUUAUGUAAGAAUGGCAAGUUAUCCCCCAUGGGCAAUAGACCAGGAUAAAUUGUAUGUCAGGAUAUAGCAAAAGAAGUUUACAGGAAACACAAAAGAGGGGAGCAAAAGAUUUUCAAGCUGGAGGAUGUCCUCCAAGAUGAAGAAUGAAAGCUUUGAUGUCAAGUA